rnacentral:rRNA from 1 species
GAUGAACGCUGGCGGCGUGCCUAAUACAUGCAAGUCGAGCGAACGGACGAGAAGCUUGCUUCUCUGAUGUUAGCGGCGGACGGGUGAGUAACACGUGGAUAACCUACCUAUAAGACUGGGAUAACUUCGGGAAACCGGAGCUAAUACCGGAUAAUAUUUUGAACCGCAUGGUUCAAAAGUGAAAGACGGUCUUGCUGUCACUUAUAGAUGGAUCCGCGCUGCAUUAGCUAGUUGGUAAGGUAACGGCUUACCAAGGCAACGAUGCAUAGCCGACCUGAGAGGGUGGACGGACACACGGGAAGUGAGACACGGUACAGACUCCGACGGGAGGCAGCAGUAGGGAAUCUUCCGCGAUGGGCGAAAGCCGGACGGAGCAACGCCGCGUGAGUGAUGAAGGUCUUAGGAUCGUAGAACUCUGUUAUUAGGGAAGAACAUAUGUGUAAGUAACUGUGCACAUCUUGACGGUACCUAAUCAGAAAGCCACGGCUAACUACGUG